rnacentral:rRNA from 1 species
GAUGAACGCUGGCGGCGUGCCUAAUACAUGCAAGUCGAGCGAACGGACGAGAAGCUUGCUUUUCUGAUGUUAGCGGCGGACGGGUGAGUAACACGUGGAUAACCUACCUAUAAGACUGGGAUAACUUCGGGAAACCGGAGCUAAUACCGGAUAAUAUUUUGAACCGCAUGGUUCAAAAGUGAAAGACGGUCUUGCUGUCACUUAUAGAUAGAUCCGCGCUGCAUUAGCUAGUUGGUAAGGUAACGGCUUACCAAGGCAACGAUGCAUAGCCGACCUGAGAGGGUGAUCGGCCACACUGGAACUGAGACACGGUCCAGACUCCUACGGGAGGCAGCAGUAGGGAAUCUUCCGCAAUGGGCGAAAGCCUGACGGAGCAACGCCGCGUGAGUGAUGAAGGUCUUCGGAUCGUAAAACUCGGUUAUUAGGGAAGAACAUAUGUGUAAGUAACUGUGCACAUCUUGACGGUACCUAAUCAGAAAGCCACGGCUAACUACGUG